CGGAUGUUGUGAACCGGGUCGCGGCGGCCGAGGCUCGGGCCUCCAGGACCACUGGCUGCCCAUGAGAGACGAAGGAUGGCAUCCAAGGGGGCCGGCGUGUCUUUCUCCCGCAAGAGCUGUAGGCUGACCUCAGAUGCUGAGAAAUCCAGGGUCACAGGCAUUGUGCAGGAGAAGCUGCUGAAUGACUACCUGAACCGCAUCUUUCCUCUUCUGACCAUGCACCCCCAGCAGCCACCGGCAG
rnacentral:lncRNA from 1 species